UUAAGCUAUCACCCUCAGACCUCAAAAUUCAGAGAACCAAGGAACUUGAUAGCACAGAUUUACUAAGUCAAUUACCUGCUUUGCGAUAGCUUCUUUCUCCCUUCUUGAUUGCCAGGUGUACUAUGAAUUGGGACCCGACAAUCCACCAUACGCUGCCAAGUUCUACAACUGUUGUGGGGCUGCACUUCCAGUUUCCAUGUUUUGUAUGAUGACGAUUGAUCCAUAUUAUUAUGAGCUGCAAAGUACUGUUGGCGAAAUAGGAAAAAAAAAAAAAAGGAAAGGAAAACCAUUCAGAGGAAUCUUAUAACUUGGCAUGUAUCCUCACCCUCCCUCCAUAUCAAAGAAAAGACUAUGGAAAAUUUUUAUUGCCUUCUGUAAGCUUUGCACUUACUUUCUUUAUUCGUUUUGGCGUAGUUUUCUCUGUCUCCGUUCUGUCUUGAUGAUUGAGUUCUGCUUUACUAUUGAUAGUCCUUGCAAUAUUUUUGAAUUGUGUUGAACCCAGACAUCUAUUAUAGACGCUCGAAAUGCUUGAGAAAAAAUGAGAGUACUACAGAAGGCUGCUGCAAAAGGGUAAGAAUAGCUGCCGAGAGCUACUACAAUUUUUGUUAAUUAAGGGUCGGCAACUUACUUCGGCAUUUGUAAUCAUCAAUUCUUGACUCAAGCAUUACUUAUGAAGAGUGAAGUUGUAUAACUUUUGGAGUUAACAUUUUGAGAAAUAGCUUUAAAUUUUUGUUUUCAUUUUGCUGAUUUUCGAAGUGGUUGUGGGAAACGGUUCUUUUGAACCAGAUUAAUUGAUUUCACUGAUUGCAUUUUGAUUGUGUUUUUGAAU
rnacentral:sRNA from 1 species